AACCUCUGGCAGAUAGUGAAUGAGGACAGAAAAGGCAUAAAAACUGGUACACCAAAGACAAGGGGCACACGCAGUCCUGGCCAAAGUCCCUGCUAAAGAGAUUGAGAUCUUGCUCUGACCAGUCAGUUACCCACAGAGCGAACAUUCAGCUUCUCCUCGCAUCCUGCGCCCAGCAGGGACCUCAUUUAUAGCUGAACAGAGGCUGAAGAGGAAAAGAGCAUGUGCUUGGGCAUUCAUGGGAACCCACCUGUCUCUGGAUCCCCAACGCUGAGUAGGGUCUUGCAGAGGCAGUCCCUCAAUCCUGGUCCACUGAUCUCCCUAGCUCCUGCUGCUUCCAAACCACAGACACAACUUCCCCACAUGCAGUGUGGACUAGAGGAGACUCUGCAAAUCCCUGACCUGAAACCACAGAAAUGAGGCAGCGGCCAAAGAGCCUCUUCCAGGACAAGCCGUGUUGGAGGCGUGGGGCCCGGCCUCUGGAUUACAGGUUGUCUUAAGGAGGUGUUCCCGAUUUGGUGCCAUUCCCAGACCCCCUACCUGUCCCCGGUGGGAGCCAGUCCAACUCUUUCUGCCUCCGGCUCCAACGGCUCAGCCCGGCUUGGCCCAGUGCGGUUGCCGGACUCAGGUGAGGCUCUGGAGUCUCAAAGGCGGUCCUGGAAGAGGCAGAAGCUGCCCAUUCCUAUCAGCAUCCCUUCCAGGGGAAAAGUGGGCGAGCCAGGAGCAGCAAAACAAGAAAGUCUGCCUGUCAGCUCUGGACUCUCUCCUAACCGGGAGCCGCCACCUUGGACUCUUCCUGGGAUGUUUUUACCAGUAAUGUAAUCCACACUGGAUGAGGACCGUGCAGAGAUCUGGGAGUCUGAAGUUUAAAGGAACAGGUCCCAGAGGAACCUAGCCUUCUUGUCUGGGAUGAUAUCUGAAAGCCUUUUGGAUUCCGGUCCCCAUAGCUGAUACCCUUAUGGGAAGAAACUGCAGGAGCAGAUCCCACAGCAUCCUGAAAAUUAGAGGACUUGGAACUCAUGAUAUAUCCUGAACAUACCUAUUAAAUUGUCUAUUCAUGGAGCAGAUUGUCUUUAGAAGGCUUAACUUCUUGAGUUCAUUCAAUACUUGGAGAAAUCAAGUGUACAUUAUUCACUGGGGAAAUAAA